rnacentral:rRNA from 1 species
GAAAAGAAACUAACAAGGAUUCCCCUAGUAACUGCGAGUGAAGCGGGAAAAGCUCAAAUUUAAAAUCUGGCGGUCUCUGGCCGUCCGAGUUGUAAUCUAGAGAAGUAAUGCCCGUGCUGGACCGUGUAUAAGUCUCCUGGGAUGGGGCGUCAUAGAGGGUGAGAAUCCCGUCUUUGACACGGACUACCAGUGCAUUGUGGUAUGCUCUCAAAGAGUCGAGUUGUUUGGGAAUGCAGCUCAAAAUGGGUGGUAAAUUCCAUCUAAAGCUAAAUAUUGGCGAGAGACCGAUAGCGAACAAGUACCGUGAGGGAAAGAUGAAAAGAACUUUGGAAAGAGAGUUAAACAGUACGUGAAAUUGCUGAAAGGGAAACGCUUGAAGUCAGUCGCGUUGGCCGGGGAUCAGCCUUGCUUUUGCAUGGUGUACUUUCUGGUUGACGGGUCAGCAUCAAUUUUGACCGCUGGAAAAAGACCUGGGGAAUGUGGCAGCUUCGGCUGUGUUAUAGCCCCUAGUCGCAUACAGUGGUUGGGAUUGAGGAACUCAGCACGCCGCAAGGCCGGGUUUCGACCACGUUCGUGCUUAGGAUGCUGGCAUAAUGGCUUUAAGCGACCCGUCUUGAAACACGGACCAAGGAGUCUAACAUGCCUGCGAGUAUUUGGGUGGAAAACCCAAGUGCGUAAUGAAAGUGAAAGUUGAGAUCCCUGUCGUGGGGAGCAUCGACGCCCGGACCAGAACUUUUGGGACGGAUCCGCGGUGGAGCAUGUAUGUUGGGACCCGAAAGAUGGUGAACUAUGCCUGAAUAGGGUGAAGCCAGAGGAAACUCUGGUGGAGGCUCGUAGCGAUUCUGACGUGCAAAUCGAUCGUCAAAUUU